AUCCUGGCUCAGAACGAACGCUGGCGGCAUGCCUAUCACAGGUAAGUCGAACGAAGCCUUCGGGUUUAGUGGCGCACGGGUGCGUAACGCGUGGGAAUCUGCCCUUGGGUUCGGAAUAACAGUGGGAAACGACUGCUAAUACCGGAUGAUGACGUAAGUCCAAAGAUUUAUCGCCGAGGGAUGAGCCCGCGUAGGAUUAGGUAGUUGGUGAGGUAAAGGCGCACCAAGCCGACGAUCCUUAGCUGGUCUGAGAGGAUGAUCAGCCACACUGGGACUGAGACACGGCCCAGACUCCUACGGGAGGCAGCGGUGGGGAAUAUUGGACAAUGGGCGAAAGCCUGAUCCAGCAAUGCCGCGUGAGUGAUGAAGGCCCUAGGGUUGUAAAGCUCUUUUACCCGGGAUGAUAAUGACAGUACCGGGAGAAUAAGCCCCGGCUAACUCCGUGCCAGCAGCCGCGGUAAU
rnacentral:rRNA from 1 species